AGGACAAACGCUGGCGGCGUACCUAAGACAUGCAAGUCGAACGGGGGAUGGACCCUUCGGGGACCAUUUCGAGUGGCGAACGGGUGAGUAACACGUAGGAACCUGACGUUUGGUGGGGGAUAACGCUGGGAAACCGGCGCUAAUACCGCAUGAAGUCCCUCGAAAGGGGGAGCAAAGCAGCAAUGCGCCAGAUGAGGGGCCUGUGGCCGAUUAGCUAGUUGGUGAGGUAAAGGCCCACCAAGGCGACGAUCGGUAGCUGGU
rnacentral:rRNA from 1 species